AAGCUCGUAGUUGAAUUUCGGGAUCAAUACGUUGGUCGUGCCUUCGGUAUGUACUGGUGUCGUUGAUUUCUCCCUUCUGACGAACUGUGAUGUCAUUAAUUUGGUGUUGUGGGGAAUCAGGACUGUUACUUUGAAAAAAUUAGAGUGUUUAAAGCAAGCACACGCUUGAAUACAUUAGCAUGGAAUAAUGAAAUAGGACGUUUGACCCUAUUUUGUUGGUUUCUAGGAUCGACGUAAUGAUUAAUAGGGAUAGUUGGG
rnacentral:rRNA from 1 species